UUUGAUUUAUUUGUAUUUGUAUUUAUUUAUUUUAUUAUAUAUAUUUUUUAUUUAUUUUAUUUUUUAUAAUUACUGAGAAGCCAAAUACAGCUGAAAGCUAUGAGUUAGCUACUCAUGGUGUGGUUCAUUCGUGUAUCUCAAAGCAGGAUUUACUUUCCUUUCCUAGUUCUUGGUAUUUCCUUGACUAGCUUUCUAAAUAUCCCAGUGGAAAAGACCCCCUUACCUAAAGCCACCUAUGUCAGAUAUUCACAAGUUUUUUAUUAGAAUGCUUUCCAUAAUGUCUCUUAUUCAUUUGCUAAAAUUUAAAUUUAAGGAUUCUUCUACCAAAUGAAAAUGGUGAUCAGAUUAUUCUCUGCUGUGUUUGAAAAUAAUUGCCAUGUACUCUAAAGUUUUUCCUUUGUCCUAGGCCAAAGGGUCUCUAUUUUUAAAAUCUUUCAUCAUGGAUCACAUUCUCUUUGCUGCUAAUCACAUGCACUGUUUUGGGCUUUCUCCAGUUGCCCCAUGUUUCUUCCGAAGCAUAAUGCCCCAAAGGGACCAAGUUCUCUACAUGACGUUCUAAUACUGCUCAGAAGAGAAAGGCAUGAAGGCUAUACUGCUAUUUAUAAAUCAGAGCAUUAAAUUUAAUCAUUUCCACCUAAGAGCAGUACAUCAUGUAGAAUUUCAUCCAUUCUUCAUUCCACCACUGCAAUUUCUCAAGGUAAUUCUGAAUUUGAAAUGUGUCUUUCCAUACAUUCAUGUUUGCACUUCUUUUCAACUUUGUCUCACCUGCAAACUUAUUAAGGCUGCUAUCCAGAUUGUUAAUAAGAGGUUGAAUAAAGUCAACCUUUACAACUCUUUACAACCUGAACAAAGAAAGGUCCUGUAAUUUUGUUACAUAAUAGUAUAAAAAUAAAGAAAAUGGAUUUAAAAUUAUAUCCAUUAGUUAAUUAGUGUUUAUGCUAUUACUUUUCAUUUAAAGCAUUUGCAGUGUUAACUUAAUUCUAGACAUGCUAUGUAUUUGUUUCUGGGGUUUUUUUCUGUGAGUUAAAGUUUGAUUGAUUAGUUUAAUAUUUCUACCCUCCUCUUUCUCUGCUUUCUCCCUUUUCAUUAUACAAGGCAGCUGUUAUUUUUUGUCCUUUCCCUGACUUACAUCUUUUAGCCAUUUUUGACAGAUUCUCAAGUAAUUGCUAAUCUGAAUAAUUCACCCCAUUCUUAAUAUAUUCCAGGCCAAAGUCUGUCUGGUCUGGCUGACUUGAUAACAUUCCAUAAUGCUCUCCUGACCUAUUUCUUCCCUGUUUUAUAUUGGGUGUUUAACAUUUUUUCAUUAAUGUUAAUUAUGCUAGUGAGGUGUCUGCAGCUUUUUUUUUUUGGUCACGUGCAAAAAAGGAUUUUAAAUAUUCCAAUCUUCUUGCGAUCAUGAGUUAUGUCAUUUCCUUGCCUCCAGUCUCACAGUUAGGCAGGAAAAGCAAUCAUAAUUUUAUUUUCACCUUGUUAUUUUUAAUGCUUGUCUCCUUUUUAAGUGUUUCCUAGUUUUCCUAGCUCUGUGUUUGAUUUAUGCCAUAGUCUUCUGAUUGGACCAUAAACAUGCUGCUAUCUUUUUUUUUUUGUUUGUUUUAGAAUUUGAUCUGAUGUCCACUUUUCAGAUGGAACUUUGUGGGUUUAAGAUCAAAUAAAAGUUUCUGGCUUACCUAAACUAAUCUCUCUUUUGAUACUUUUCCCUUCUGAUAAGGUUAUGCUUAUGUUUUCUGCAACAAUUUAAUUACUUUUCCUUUGACUUUUUUAUUGACUUGAAUUGGUGAAUGUUGCCUACUUCAAAUCCAUGAUUGUGCCUUUUUUCUCUAUUAUCUUCCCCAAGAAUAUAUACUCUAUAAUAUCAGUCACUGUCUCCAAGUCACCUUUUUCAUCAUUCUUUUCUCAAACAGCUACUAUUCUCUGGUACAGAAACACAUCCAGAAGAGCCUCUCUUCUCUCUGUUUUUAACACAGAAAUAGAAGUGGCCACCAGUGCUUUCAGCAUAGAGCUUGUUAAUUGAUCUGUGUCCUGAUGUUUCCUUUCCUACCCAUUCUUGGGAUAGUUAACUUUCUUGUGACUCUGCUUCUGUGCAUUGGGUGUUAAAUGAUUUGUCAUUUAUUCAUAAUGAAGGAUCCCACUACAUAGCCUCUGUUCAUGUGGUUUGGUUUACUGACAGCAGCAUCUGAGUCCUCCUUUCACCAUCACCCACAGGGUUUUGAUAAGCCUAACUUUCUCCUUUGCCUGGAGUUCAGCACCAGUGCAGGGCUGUGUCCUUUAAUGUUAGAUUGUCCUACUAUGUAGUCAUCUUACUCAUAAUUCUGUUUACCAAUAAUGUCUUUUUUGUGGUCAUGUUUUAGGUAUCCUUACUCUUCUUGUUGAUUUCUUGUAUCUCCUCAUGAUUUCAACUUGGCUUGUCCUAUUCCUCCACAAUGCACACAAUUAUUUUAAUUUAAUUUGUUCAAAAUGGAUUUCUGUAUCUAAAAUGUUCACAUACAAGCAGCCAUACAGGGUGAACACAUGUUAUUUAAAACUAAAUCCAAGCAUGUAGCUUUUCCCCUGUUCUUUUUUCUUUGGAAGACUUUUUACAGGAUUUUUACAUUAUUGACUAACAGAAAGAGCAAACAGACCAACAGGGAAAAUAGAUAUUUUAUCAAAAUUCUAAGUUAUAUUGUGCUUUUAUUUUUCAUUGUUUUCUAGAGUCUAGUGGAGUUUAGAUAGCAGCCUUGAAGUAAUUUGCAAUUUCAAUAUUUAAAUGGCAGUAACAGUUACCUAAUAUUGUUUUUUUAUUUUAUUUUUAAUCACAGUUGUAGCCCUGAAGUGGAGCACCAACAGAUGUGUCAGUUCCAGUUGCCUUUGACUGUACAUGAUAACAUUCCAUCCAUCCUGAUGCGUGUAAACAGAUACUUGAAUAUCCAGCCAGCCUAAAUCUGUGACACAGCCCACAGAAAUAGCCUAUGCAGAAGUAAUCCCAUAAAAUAGUUGACACAGCCAAGAGGUGGUCCCUGUUGUGAGUUGUGCUACUUGCUGUUUAACAGGGACACUAAUGACUUUGACCCCAGAAGUUGUGCCCUAGUAAGAAACUGUCACUAAACUGCUGUUUCCCAUUUUCAUAAAUUCAAUCUUCCACUUUUAUAAUUUUGAAUUAGUAGUUUUCAGCUAUAAUUCCUAGUGCAGACAUUGCCUGACAUGAUGAGGAGGCGAGCAGCCAGGGCUGUGGACUCAGGGUUAAAGGUCUGUUUACCUCUGGCCUCACUCUCAGAUCAAUCCAUGCCUGGUCAAAGCCUCUCCAUAAGAGAGGCACUGGAGUAGUCCUGUUGCAUCCUAGAAAUUUAAUUUAAUAUAUGAAACAAGUCAUUAAUUUACCCAAGGACCGGGAAAUAUGAGGGAAGUUUGUAACUCUGGAGACAUAUCUGAUAAGAAAGUAUAACUGCUCUUACUUGUGCAGCACAGACACUGUUUAUAUUACCCUGCAGAAGAAGUGGCAGCUCAUAGCUGCCUAGAGGACUGAAGCCUUCAAGCCCCAUCCAUUUAUCUGCAAUGGAGAAAUAGCUGGAAAGGAUAGGCUGGGUCAGGCAGGCAAGGAUUACAAUAGUAAGAUUAUUGUCUUUGAUGUGUACAUAUUUCAGUGGUUUCAACAAAAUAUUGUCAUGACUGUUCAUCUACUCAUAUGUUGGGACUGCCUCAUUCAUUUUUCCUCACACCUGAUGAUUUUAAUGAAGUUUAGAGACAGGAAAACCAGAACAGUGUGGGAAGUUUUGAGUAUCUGCUGAACAGUGUAAGAGGGGCUCCAAUGCCUAGUAUUAUAUAAAGAGCCUACAUACAUCCUGACAUCUAGGAAUCAUGAGAUACAGGUGAACUCCAACCUUCUUAAUCACAUGGGAAGAGAGGGAAGAUAGAUGCUCUUCAACAUAUCCCCUGCAGUUUAUGUACAGGGGUCCACAAUUUCCAGCUCUUGUAUCAUCUAAACAUCCCAAAUUCUCUCAGAGCCCAUUUUAAGCAAUGCAUCUUGAAACAGGAGCAUCAAAACUCAGCUUUCCUUGUGGUUAUCAGUAUUCAUUGUAUUUCAUGCUUAAAUACAUUCAUGGCCAGCAAAAAUCCUUUUCUUCGUGAGUCAAAAUUGUCCUUCACCUGAAAUUACUUCCUUCCCAAUUCUUUCCCUAGGAAUAUUGAUAGUUACAUUAUUGACUCUUUGUUUUGACUUUGAUUUUAGCAAGCUGCUUUAGUUGCCACUCAGGUCAGAGACUGAUAAAAUCAACAGUCAAGUCUAAUAGGAAUGGAGAUUCACCUGGUGCUUUGCACUUUAUUUUCCUAAUAAUCCUGCUGCCGAGUUGUCCUAAAAGGAGAAUUUUCAAUUCAAUGCAAAUAUUUUUAUUUUUGCUCCUUUUUUGUUUUGAUUUGGACAAAAACAUGAACAUUUCAAAAUUUCCUGUGAAAUGUGAACUUCUAAGAAUGUAAUUCAAAAGCUGCCCACUUGAAGAUCAGUUGUCACAUUAUUCCUGCUACCCAAGGUCCUAAGCCUCUGACUUUGGUUGGAGCAGUGAAAUACAGGCAAUCGGCUGCCAUAUUAGAUCUGGCUGCUCUGAAGUCACAAAAUCUGUCAGUGUCAGUCCUGGCAUGGUCCUUUUGCUGAACCUAGUGUCAGCAAAGUGCUUGGUUUCUGGGAAGCCCCCAGAAUUCCAGCCACACCUUGGGUUCUGUUGAGGUUUCUCAGAGACUUCAAGGUCCAGAUCACAUGUUUUAGUGGGUGAAACACACUGUUCUGUGAAUUGCCUUUUUAGUGUCAUGAAUACUGCCUUAUCUCAAAGUCCCUUGCCUCAUCCGUGUUUCUGCCUGUGGUCCCUUCUUUAGAGCAAGCCACAGUCACUGUGGUGCUGCUGGAGCUGGUGAUUGCUGUCAGAAGAGAGGUUGUUGCUGCAGGGGAGGAUGAGAAGCCUUGCUACCCUGAGAGGUAGGACAGGCAGGGCCAGGAGGAGUACAUGUACAUAUGUACCUUGAUUCCCUAAGCAUUGCUGACAAAGCUGCUUUCAGUCAUCCCUUGUACUCCUCUUGUACUAAAUCCCAUCUUUUCUCUGUGGUGAAAGUAAUUUCAGUGUAACAAAAAAAAAAAUAAAACAGGACCCAGCAAUCUCAGAGGGCCAUGUAUCACCCCAUCAUGUAACACACUCUUUGGCAUAGUUUUGACCUGAGUCAGCAAGUCCUGAAUAAUGCCAGGGGGAUAGCACUGGCUGGGAACUGUUUCCAGUAGAAAGUACAGAGUUGACUAAACCACUGGAGCUGGCUCCUUGCUCUUAGACUGUCUCAGCACUGUCCCAGCAGUGUCUGAAUCCCUGGGUAUGCAACAUGGUACAUGUCAGGGCUGUGCAGCACAUUCAUGCAGUUUCACGCUAUGGAAGCACUGCUCUGGCAGACUGAAACCUAAGCCUUCACACAAUUUUAGUCACAUAAAUAAUAAUUAUACUAUACAAGUGCUGGAUGGGGGCCCAGAGGAAACUAUGGCCAAGAAGUGUGGGCAUUGCCCAUCAGUGACUGCUUCUGUUUCACUUAGUAGUACAGAUGCAGACAUGGUCAUCUGCCUACUUGAGCUGUCUCUAAUUAAUUUCCAUAACUUAAAACCUAAUAGUGUGAAAACAAAGGGUUUUUGUCAUACUCCAUCCAAACAUCUACCAGUUUUCUGUCUGUAUAACCCAACCUAAACCUCUCUUUGAGUCAAUGCACUUAGCUUUUAAAUGGUGCUUUGUAUAAACUCCUGGGAGUUUUCCUCCCAGCUAGCGAUCUGCAACCACAGCCUCCCCUCCCCCCACCCAGACACAGCUGUUGGAGAUCACAGUUCAGGAAUACAGAGCUGGAAUAAAAAUUACUAAAGCAGCAAUGCUCAUUGUCUCAAUUCCUCCUUUCAGGUGCUGCUUCAUAAAUCAAGACUUUCUGUAGUUUCUUCUAUGUAAAAGAAAAACAUUAAUAUUAAUAUUCUUUCCAAAUUUUUGCCAACCUUUUCAGAUCCCACCUUUCUCCUUUCCUGCUUUCAGCUGCACAGCUCUGCUUCAGUUCAGGUUAAUGUUUUCAGAGGCCAAGGCUUCUUAUGAUCAUUCCCAGCACACUUUUGUAACUGAGCUAUAAAUUUCAAAGAUUUUCUGGAGGAAGGCUGUGUUAUCUCGUAACUGAUCCUGUUAUUUGCCUCUGCAUCCAUGAUUGCAGUUCCUUGGACUCACAGGCUUUUCUGUUAUAGGAAAUCAGUUAACCCUUUCCUUCUUCUCCCUUAGGAUUUAUUUAUUGUCUUGAAAGUAUUUUUUUGUAUGUAUAGAAUACACCCAAUUGAAAGAUCCACCUGAAUAAGUAUGUUAGAGGAAAGGAGACAGGGAAGAUACUUGUUAAAAACCGAAGUUUAAUGCUAUUCUGAAUUGACUUGUUCUUUUACAUCAUUAAAAUAAAAUCUGUAAAUCCUUAAUGCCAGAAGAUGGUUACUGUUCUGAACUCUGCAGCUUAAAAUAUUGGCUGUUCCUUAUCUGCCAAGUUCAAGUAAGGGCCAGGCCCUUCAUGUACUCAUGAGAGCUUUGCUGCAGCAACAAAUGCAGCACCUGAACUGAGCAAAUGCAGCACCUGAAUUCAGGCAGAACAGCCACUACACAGAGGUUUUACACUCUGCAGGGAGACAUUUACUUAAUGAGAUAAAUAAUUAGAUGGGUUCUUGCUUGCCAACAUUUGAACUCUCUUUCCACAAACUACGGGGUCUGGUCUGAGAGAACCAGCUCCAAGAAUGUGCCUGGUGUAUGAUAAUCAAAGCAGGGCUGAUAGCUGCGGUGAGCUCUGAAAUCACAGGGCUGUGGAACUGGAUGGAAAACAAACAAAACUUUUGUGCCAGUUUCAUUUGCAUAAUAUCUAUCAAGUCUUCAAGUCAAUUUGUUAAUGAAUUUUUCAAACAAAAGGACUAAAUUUACAAAUACACACAAUAUUUUGUAUAGCAGUCUAAUCCCCAUCUGUCCCCAUUGGGUGGUAAUCAUCACGCAUUUUUUCCCAGCAAAAUGAAGACCAUGAUUAUUACCAUGAUAAUUGUUACAAAAGUAAAAUUUGAGUCCAGUGAGAAAAUUUGUCAUUAAACUAGACAAAAAGCAACAUUGGUGUUAAACUCUGCUUUCAUUAAUAGCAGAACAAGCUAAUGAAUGCUAUUAGCUACAGUUCAGUUACUUAUUUUCUUUUGCCAUUUUAGUCCUAGACCUUGUGGUUUUGUUAAAAUAGGAAUGAUAAACAUCUGUAGUGUCCUGGGUCACAGACUGAAAUGGCCUCUUUCAGAGCAUGAAAAGCCAAUAAAACUGCAAAAACAGGUCUAAAAAAAACCCCAGUACUGACAGAAUAAGCCUGAAGUGUGCUCACUUAGUAAUUUUUUACCUAAUUACAAUUGAUUACAACAAAUGAGAAUGACUUGGUUUUUACUGAUAGCAGUAGAGUAGAUGCACUGAAUCUCUUAGUCCUUUCUCCUGCUAUAAUGGCAUGGAUAUCUCCUGUUGUCUCAAAAUGGAGAAAAGGAACAGUUUUCCCCUCAGUAGUAAGAGAGAGAUCACUUUUCCUUCAUAUUUCCUAGACUCUUUGCAGCAUUCAGACCACUUUAUCCUGUGAGUGUUGCAUCACUGUACUCCAAAGCUGAAAUUUGAUAUGAUUGUUGUCUUUCUUACCAUUUUUAAUAUUUAAGCUCUCCUUUUUCUUCUCUUACUCAGCCUUUUGUUGUUUCUCCCUCAGAAGGCUGCCAGCUUAGUCCAUGCUUACUACCGCUUCAUGCCUUCUCUAGAGAUAAUGGAAGUUCCUCAGGAUGUUAGACAUGGAAAUUUCUGUUGCUGGUGUCAAGAGAGGACUCUUCUUUCAGAUAAGUCCCUGCCCACACUGAGUACUUUGGUAGCUAUAAAGUAUUUCUACUUCCAUUUACUUUGAACUAAAGAACAUCUUCAGUAAGGAGAACAGUGAGCUGAAAUUUCCUUUCAAUGCUUCAUUUUUUUUCUAGUAAACAACCACACUGCACCACUAAUGAUAUGCUGCCUGCUUUCUGGGUCCCCAUCCCAAGACAGCCACAGUCUGCAUUUCGUAGAUGCUGACAAGUCAGUGCAGCUGAAGCCAGCAGAUGCCAUGAGUGACUGGUGGACAAGUUCCAGUCAUCUCCAGUGAAGAAUGCAGAAAUCAUUUUGAGACAACUUCAGAGUCAACAUACUGGCAUAGAUGUGGCACCAAACAGCACCCUUCAGAUGACUGAGAUUUUUUACAUAUGAGCACAUUCUUUCUUACAAGAGUUUGCAAAUGCUUGAGUGAUACUUGUAUUAAUGUAAUAAAAGAAGUGCAAGUCCAACCAAGACAUGACUAUUUCUCUGCUAAUGCUCUCUAGUCAUCUGCAGCCAGAACUAUUGUCAUAACAAUUCUCAAAGCACUGGAACAACUGCAGCACCAAUUAAAAGAGGAAUCCUAAAGGGUUCUUGCAGUCAAUAGAGAUGAUUGCCAUAGUCUGUUAUUUAAACUCACAUUUGUCAAUCCUUUGACAUUACACCUGCUGCAUGGCAAAACACUCGAAUUCUGACAAAUUAAUAUUUUUAUGUGGUGUUUGAAAAAGGAACUUUUCAGGCUGAUAGCAGGACAAAAGAUUUUGUGUACUUAUAAUCAAAGGUAUCACUAGGAUUUUAUGAAUAAAUUAGAAUGCACACCUUGUCAUCUCCCUUUCUAUAAUUUUGAGAAUAUUGCAGAAAAGUCUUCUUGUCUAGGAGGUUAAAUGACUAUAAGCUGUAAAACAAGCUAUAGAGAAAGAGAUGAGGGCUGAUAUCACUGUCUUCUCUGCAUAACCUACACUGUGCAUAGCAUAGCUCUGUGCAGUAAAUAUUUGGUGAAAUAUAUGCAACAGGCAUCAGCAAAGUAAUUUUUUUUUUCACACAUAAGUAUUUAUAAGCCAAGAUGAUUUGCAUACAAUGUUUAAAGACAGAUUUUUUUGUAAGGUGUGCUGUGGUGACUUGGUGACUCUUUUGGUGAUACGUGUGUUUCAUUCUCUUGCCACGUGUGCCAUGGUCAGUGCUGUGCAAUGCAUGUAAGGGCCUGACUCUUCACAGGAGCAGCAGGAGAGCUGAGCUGCCCAAAGGACAAUAACUGCUGACAGUGCAAGUAAACAACAAAUGGUGUUGAUUUCCUCCUGGCUGGAAAUUUAUCAGUAGAGAGAAUACAAAAGUUGAACUGUGUCUAGCACCAUGAUAGCAGUAAGUCAGAAUAAAGCCUAGGGCUUAGGUUCCUGCCUAUGCAGGCAUGCCUGAUGCAUUCAUACCUGCAGAUUCCCCAAGUUCACAGGCACUCCUUUGGCUCUCAGUGAAGAAAUGAGGAUGUCAGCUUUGGGUGAAAGAGUUCAGAUCUCCAAAGAAGCAGAGGCUUCAUGAAGAGUUAAGCAGAACAAUCCAUCACUGCUAUGAAACCCUAAUAUACCUUAUGUUUUUUUAAGUACUUAAGGUAUUGCCUGGACAUGUUUUGGAGCUGUCUUAUACUCUCACACAACACAAAGAGCUUCAGAUUGUAUACUUGAUACUUCAAAAAGUUUUAAAAAUUAAUGUUUGUGUUUCUGCAAUAUUCAUGUUCAUAUUUGUGUGUGUUAGAAUAAGUUUCCAAGGAAACUUGCAAAUUAUUUUAAGUGGCAUGAUUUUCUUUUACUGUGCAUAUUGCUUGAAAUAUUCAUGUUAUUUUGUGCCAUGAAUUGGAUACAGAGAAGAGGCAUUCUUGAUCCUCUUAUAUAUAUAUAUAUAUAUAUUUUUUUUUUGUGUGACCCUUCUCAAAUAUGCAGCCACACUGGAGCCAAUUACUCCAAUUAUCCAAGAUUACAAGAUUAAAUUUUGCAUAUUCGUAGUCUUGGGAAGAAGAGGAGGUCAUCAGAAGGAUGCCAAAUGUUGCUUAUUAUGAGAACAGGUAACAUUUAACCUCAUGACAGUACAAAUACAAAAACAAUUGUGCAGAAAUACAAAUUAACUAAGCCAUAGUUCUAAGUGAAAGUUUCAGCUGCAGGUGGAGACACUUUUUAAUUAGAUAAAGUAAGCAAAAAACCCAGUGGUUUGAAGAUGAAGCAUGGGUUACUAUAACAUGGUUUCCUGAAAAUUCAGGUAAAAUUAAAAUAUUAUUUCCUCUAAAAUUAGGAAAUGAUAAUAUAUUUAAAUUUGUUUGACUAAUAUAUGUUGUUUCUAUGCAAAGCUAACAGAAAAGGCGUUGUAGGUACCUUUGUCUAGCUUAAAAAUGAACCUAAAAAUUAAACUUGCAAUUAUACCCUUUAAUUUAUGCAUCCUUCAUCUUUGUAAUAUUCUGCCACAAUUGCAUUGCUUUCUUGAUCACUGCCAGCAGUUAGAAAUGUUCUUUUCCAGAAAUGGCAUGGACAUCUAUUUUUCUCUUCAGUCUCUUCCAUUCUUUUCUCUGGUUCUCCUAUUACAUUGUUCCUGGAUUACUUCUUAUUCCCUGAUUCACUGCAAAUAGAGUCAUGGACUUUGAGAUCCUUGGGGUCCACCUCAUCAGGGUUUUUUCUAAGUCAUUUUGUUCUUAGCAAGGCAAUAAAUGGCUAGUUUAUAUUAGCAGAUGAUAGAACUCUACAGACAGCAGCAGCUACAUAGUGCAGGAAAGUCAUCUGCAUGAAUUUAUUCUGGCAUUGCAUAUAUAGAGAGAAAAAAUUGGCAUCAGAUACUGAAAUUUCACGGAUGAGAUUUAGGCAGAAAAAUGGCUUAGUAAUCAGUGACUACUUCUUCCUCACUGGAAGCUAAUAUGUAAUAUUUCUCUACUAUCUCUACUAACUUCCUAUUCCAAAAUGGAAACAAAUAUUCAAUUUUAGUUUAGACUGAAGAGUUUGUUCUUUGCUAAAUUUUCUGCUACCCACUUGUCUCACUGCAUUUCAUUGCAUACAUUCAUUUUAAAAUUAUAUCUCAAUUUUAGUAUUUAACAAGUAAAUAGGAUUAAAAACCUUAACAAAGUACUUAAGAGAAGUCUAAGCACUGUGGUUUUCCAUUUGACUGAUGCUCCUGUUUCAGAACAGGAAUGACUUUUAAUAGCAAAAAUAGAGGAGGAUAUUGAGGAAAAAAAGUAGUUAAUAUAGUAAAUAGGAAACUCCUGAUUUUUCCAGUAGUUGUUUAUGUGACUUUGGAUCAAUCACUGCUCACUGUGCACCCCUUCCUCUGCUUAUUACAGAUCUGUAGGGCAGGGACUGCUUUCUGCUUUAUGGCUGCAGUCCCUCUGUGCCACAUUGGAUGCAGGUGGUCACUAAUGAUGGAUCUUACAGUUUGGAAUGUUUGAGUUUUCUGAGCCCAAGCACCACAGAGCAGUCAGAACCAAGGAUUUACUGGAUACCAGUUUUUCUAACUUGCUAAGGUAACUGAAGAAGCCCAUACAAGGACAUCCAAGGCACUGGCUAUUUUAGUCAUGAGAUAAAAUAAUGUCACCACUUAGCAACAAAUGCCAUAUAAGCUUGCUGAACACUGCAAGUGAAUUUCUAAUAGUUCAUUCUGUAGACUUGUAGUUAAAAUAAACCGUGAUUUUCAAUUUUGAAGCAAAUUAUUUUGCUCUGGAAAAAUUAACAUUUUUUUCUGUUAUGAGGCAAUAGCCAAAUUAUCAUAAGUGUUUAAGCUCUUAUUUUAGGCACUAAGUACCUGAUUUUUGAUUCACAAAGUAACCUGAAUACCAUAAUUUGAUACAACUAUGUUGUUGUUCAAGUAGUUAGUAAGCUCUGGGCUAAUUCUCAGUAUACUUUCCAAACCUCAGCUAAAGAAAACUGUGUGGUAAUGUAAGGAUACAUAGCUGAGUCUCUCAGAUUCUGGCUUAUACAAAGUAUAUUCCAUUUGCUAUGAUUUGUGACAAAAUUUUCAGGUCAUGUGCCUAGAGCCUCGGGAAAUGCAGGGUUUUCAGGAAUUCCAUUAGGAGAUGUACAGAUACAGUACUGGGUCUACAGAAGCUACAUAGAUUUUAUUUUUCAUCAGUUUAGCCUCA